AUUGAACGCUGGCGGCAUGCCUUACACAUGCAAGUCGAACGGCAGCACGGGAGCAAUCCUGGUGGCGAGUGGCGAACGGGUGAGUAAUAUAUCGGAACGUGCCCAGUCGUGGGGGAUAACGUAGCGAAAGCUACGCUAAUACCGCAUACGAUCUAUGGAUGAAAGCGGGGGAUCGCAAGACCUCGCGCGAUUGGAGCGGCCGAUAUCAGAUUAGGUAGUUGGUGGGGUAAAGGCUCACCAAGCCGACGAUCUGUAGCUGGUCUGAGAGGACGACCAGCCACACUGGGACUGAGACACGGCCCAGACUCCUACGGGAGGCAGCAGUGGGGAAGUUUGGACAAGGGGCGCAAGCCUGAUCCAGCAAUGCCGCGUGCAGGAUGAAGGCCUUCGGGUUGUGAACUGCUUUUGUACGGAGCGAAAAGGCUUCCACUAAUACUGGGGGCUCAUGACGGUACCGUAAGAAUAAGCACCGGCUAACUACGUGCCAGCCGCCGCAGUAAGAC
rnacentral:rRNA from 1 species